rnacentral:rRNA from 1 species
GACGAACGCUGGCGGCGUGCUUAACACAUGCAAGUCGAACGGAAAGGCCCUGCUUUUGUGGGGUGCUCGAGUGGCGAACGGGUGAGUAACACGUGAGUAACCUGCCCCUGACUUUGGGAUAACUUCAGGAAACUGGGGCUAAUACCGGAUAGGAGCUCCUGCUGCAUGGUGGGGGUUGGAAAGUUUCGGCGGUUGGGGAUGGACUCGCGGCUUAUCAGCUUGUUGGGGGGGUAGUGGCUUACCAAGGCUUAGACGGGUAGCCGGCCUGAGAGGGUGGACGGCCACAAUGGGACUGAGAGACGGCCCAGACGCCUACGUGAGGCAGCAGUGGAGAAUAUGGCACAACGGGCGGGAGCGUGAGGCAGCAACGCCGCGUGCGGGAUGACGGCUUUCGGGUUGUAAACCGCUUUCGACUUUGACGAAGCGUGAGUGACGGUAAUGGGUAAAGAAGCACCGGCUAACUACGUG